rnacentral:rRNA from 1 species
UACGAAGGGGGCUAGCGUUGUUCGGAAUCACUGGGCGUAAAGCGCACGUAGGCGGACAUUUAAGUCAGAGGUGAAAUCCUGGAGCUCAACUCCAGAACUGCCUUUGAUACUGAGAAUCUUGAGUACGGGAGAGGUGAGUGGAACUGCGAGUGUAGAGGUGAAAUUCGUAGAUAUUCGCAAGAACACCAGUGGCGAAGGCGGCUCACUGGCCCGUUACUGACGCUGAGGCACGAAAGCGUGGGGAGCAAACAGG